CUGAUGGAGCACGCCGCGUGAGUGAAGAAGGGUUUCGGCUCGUAAAACUCUGUUGUUAAAGAAGAACAUAUCUGAGAGUAACUGUUCAGGUAUUGACGGUAUUUAACCAGAAAGCCACGGCUAACUACGUGCCAGCAGCCGCGGUAAUACGUAGGUGGCAAGCGUUGUCCGGAUUUAUUGGGCGUAAAGCGAGCGCAGGCGGUUUUUUAAGUCUGAUGUGAAAGCCUUCGGCUCAACCGAAGAAGUGCAUCGGAAACUGGGAAACUUGAGUGCAGAAGAGGACAGUGGAACUCCAUGUGUAGCGGUGAAAUGCGUAGAUAUAUGGAAGAACACCAGUGGCGAAGGCGGCUGUCUGGUCUGUAACUGACGCUGAGGCUCGAAAGUAUGGGUAGCAAACAGGAUUAGAUACCCUGGUAGUCCAUACCGUAAACGAUGAAUGCUAAGUGUUGGAGGGUUUCCGCCCUUCAGUGCUGCAGCUAACGCAUUAAGCAUUCCGCCUGGGGAGUACGGCCGCAAGGCUGAAACUCAAAGGAAUUGACGGGGGCCCGCACAAGCGGUGGAGCAUGUGGUUUAAUUCGAAGCUACGCGAAGAACCUUACCAGGUCUUGACAUACUAUGCAAAUCUAAGAGAUUAGACGUUCCCUUCGGGGACAUGGAUACAGGUGGUGCAUGGUUGUCGUCAGCUCGUGUCGUGAGAUGUUGGGGUUAAGUCCCGCAACGAGCGCAACCCUUUAUUAUCAGGUUGGGUUAAGUCCCGCAACGA
rnacentral:rRNA from 2 species